rnacentral:rRNA from 1 species
UACGUAGGUGGCGAGCGUUGUCCGGAUUUACUGGGCGUAAAGGGAGCGUAGGCGGACUUUUAAGUGAGAUGUGAAAUACUCGGGCUCAACUUGAGUGCUGCAUUUCAAACUGGAAGUCUAGAGUGCAGGAGAGGAGAAUGGAAUUCCUAGUGUAGCGGUGAAAUGCGUAGAAAUUAGGAAGAACACCAGUGGCGAAGGCGAUUCUCUGGACUGUAACUGACGCUGAGGCUCGAAAGCGUGGGGAGCAAACAGG